rnacentral:rRNA from 1 species
UACGGAGGGGGCUAGCGUUGUUCGGAAUUACUGGGCGUAAAGCGCGCGUAGGCGGCUUUGUAAGUUAGAGGUGAAAGCCCGGAGCUCAACUCCGGAACUGCCUUUAAGACUGCAUCGCUAGAAUUGUGGAGAGGUGAGUGGAAUUCCGAGUGUAGAGGUGAAAUUCGUAGAUAUGACAUAGAACACCAAUUGCGAAGGCAGCUCACUACACGAAUAUUGACACUGAGGCACGAAAGCGUGGGGAUCAAACAGG